AAACAAAAACAAUACGACUCUUAGCGGUGGAUCACUCGGCUCGUGCGUCGAUGAAGAACGCAGCUAGCUGCGAGAAC
rnacentral:rRNA from 1 species